AGGGGGAAUAACGGUACUCUUGCUUGAGGUCACGGACAGUGACACUGGGAUAGCUGGAUUGGCUUGUUUGAUGCUUCUUAAAUGAUGGAUGGCCUUGCACGUCAAAGGAUUGGUUCGGUAGACUAAGUCUGGUCAAGAAGAAGAUAAGGAGAGCCUAAUUAGUUAUGAUAUUUAAGAAAAUAUUAUUCUAAUAUUUUGCUUCUUAUGCUUGUAAAGCCUUUGCUGGAUCAAGCUACUGGCAGAUUUAACUUCUAAUCACAUGCAUUCUCUCAAAGAAAGGGGGCAUGACUUCCGAGAAAACUGGAAUUUAAACGAGCAGUUGUGAUCGAGGAACAUAUUUUUUUUGAUAAAUUCCAAGGGAAUGAUGUUUUGAAAGAAAUUUGAUAAAUUACCGCUUGCAAUUUAUCAAAAAAAAGAAAAGAAACAUAGCAAAAUUCUAUUUUUCAUGAUAAAUAGCAAAGGAAAAUGCAACCUAGGUGGCUUGAUGGUAUUGUAAUGGUAGUUGCAUCUUACCCACCAACUAGUGUAGAGUUAACUCCUUGAUGCAAUGGAACCUUCUCCAA
rnacentral:lncRNA from 1 species